UACGUAGGGGGCAAGCGUUGUCCGGAAUCAUUGGGCGUAAAGAGCGUGUAGGCGGCCCGGUAAGUCCGUUGUGAAAGUCCAGGGCUCAACCCUGGAAAGCCGAUGGAUACUGCCGGGCUAGAGUUCGGAAGAGGCGAGUGGAAUUCCUGGUGUAGCGGUGGAAUGCGCAGAUAUCAGGAGGAACACCUAUAGCGAAGGCAGCUCGCUGGGACGUGACUGACGCUGAGACGCGAAAGCGUGGGGAGCAAACAGG
rnacentral:rRNA from 1 species